UGCCAGCCGCCGCGGUAACACGUAGGGAGCAAGCGUUGUCCGGAUUUAUUGGGCGUAAAGAGCUCGUAGGCGGUUCAGUAAGUCAGGUGUGAAAAUCCAAGGCUCAACCUUGGAACGCCACUUGAUACUGCUGUGACUAGAGUCCGGUAGAGGAGUGUGGAAUUCCUGGUGUAGCGGUGAAAUGCGCAGAUAUCAGGAGGAACACCGACGGCGAAGGCAGCACUCUGGGCCGGUACUGACGCUGAGGAGCGAAAGCAUGGGGAGCGAACAGGAUUAGAUA
rnacentral:rRNA from 1 species